GGCAUUUCCUUCAACCUCAAGUAGGUAGCAGGACUGUUGUAGUGGUAUCAGGUAUUACAUCUAGACAUGGAACAAGAGAAGUUAUUUCUUUCCUAUAACUUUCUAUGGAACUAAUUUUUUUUUCACUAAGUACUUCCCAGAAGAAAAACUUCCUUCUUUUUGGAAAAUACUAAGUCAUCUAUCCAUGUAUGAACCAAUCAAUGCCAAGGAGAUGGAUUACCAUCACACCCAUCCAUGAAGAUAACCCCAAGGCUCAUGGUUCUGUGCAAAAGGAGUAGAUAUCUGAACAAGAUUUUGACUCUAUUGGGAGCAAAAGAGGAUGAUGGUUGCUGGGAAGGUUACCAACAAAGAUCACUACACUGGCCCAACUUACUGUUGACACAGUAAAGUGUCCCGCACUUGUAUGCUAGGAUUAUUAUCACAGGUUGUGUUUGCUCCAGGUUAUCGGCAUUGUGCCUGCACUGAAUAAAAACAAGCAGCUCCAACUUCUCAGGGCUGCUCUCUGGCCACUAGAGCCAGGCAGUCACCUAGCUGCUGUUAUGCUGCAUACCUGUCUCUGAGUACUCGCUUCAUCCAUCGGCCAGGGUCUGUGGGACAGACCAGGCAGGUGGUGCCCCAUGUGAGGAACGCUGCAAUGGAUUGCAAGGGAACCCCUGAAAACAAAUGUGAAGUGACUGAGCAGUGUUAACCUUAGAAGACUAGAACCUAAUGAGUUAUGGCAAACAGAUGUUAUGCACGUCCCUGAAUUUGGAAAACUAAGGUCCUCUUUGGAUUCCAGCACGAGGCAUCAAACCAUACCAUGGCAUGGCUAGGACCCAACCCGGUACCAAAAUGAAGAAAAUGACCCUACAGGACCCACAAUCCCGGAUGAUGUGGCUUCCUUGGAUGACACAGGCCCUGGACAUUACCUGGGGGAUGCUGAAGAAGACAACUCAGGAGGCCAAGCAAAUCCUGCUCCAGGCACAGACACCAUUCACUCCAGGAAGCUGCCAUUCAUUCGACAUAAGUAGGUGCUUCAUCUGAUAAGCGCUGCUUGUGUAAUUUAUCAAUGACAGAGAAGGCAGAUAGCAGCAUGCAUACUUGGGGCUGCAUUUGAAGGAGAGCAACAUCCCUUUGUUUUCACAGAGGAGAACAAGCAUGAGUUGAGAUUGUGGUGCUUCUUGAAGUCUCAUCCAGAUCAGAAACCUGCUGCUCUGUCCACAUUCCAUCCACCAAAGCAACCCAUAUGGCCAUGUCCAGCAUCAGAUGGGGAAAGGCAGUUCUCCUCUAGCACGAGGAGCUGCAAAGCCACAUGGCAAAGGAUGAGUGUGUAAAAAAUAAAUGCAGGAGGGCAGGAGGCAUUGGGAACAA
rnacentral:lncRNA from 1 species